GAUGAACGCUGACGGCGUGCCUAAUACAUGCAAGUCGAGCGAACAGACGAGGAGCUUGCUCCUCUGACGUCAGCGGCGGACGGGUGAGUAACACGUGGAUAACCUACCUAUAAGACUGGGAUAACUUCGGGAAACCGGAGCUAAUACCGGAUAAUAUAUUGAACCGCAUGGUUCAAUAGUGAAAGACGGUUUUGCUGUCACUUAUAGAUGGAUCCGCGCCGCAUUAGCUAGUUGGUAAGGUAACGGCUUACCAAGGCAACGAUGCGUAGCCGACCUGAGAGGGUGAUCGGCCACACUGGAACUGAGACACGGUCCAGACUCCUACGGGAGGCAGCAGUAGGGAAUCUUCCGCAAUGGGCGAAAGCCUGACGGAGCAACGCCGCGUGAGUGAUGAAGGUCUUCGGAUCGUAAAACUCUGUUAUUAGGGAAGAACAAAUGUGUAAGUAACUAUGCACGUCUUGACGGUACCUAAUCAGAAAGCCACGGCUAACUACGUG
rnacentral:rRNA from 1 species